rnacentral:snRNA from 1 species
AUACUUACUUGGGCGGGGUUGAUCGAUGAUCAGGAAGGUUGAUGGCUUAGGAAGGCCACCUCCAUUACACUUGGGAGGGUGGUCUACCUAGCGUCUCCCACUGAGGAGAGAGCAUGUCAUACUUUGUGGUAGCAGAGGCUCACGCUCGCACGACAGCCACAC